rnacentral:rRNA from 1 species
AUGGCAACACGGCCGGGCCCUUUGACUGAAUGGCCAUGGCAGUGGAUGGGAAGCUUCAAGUACCUGGUCUUGGCGCCUGCGGCGUUGCACACUGCGCACAGGGUGGUCACCAAGGGGUGGGGGGACAUGAGCCUGGCAUACGCCGCCAUGUUACCAGCUCUGCUUCUGAGGAUGAUCCAUAACCAAAUCUGGAUCAGCUUGUCUCGCCACCAGACCGCACGCAGGAAGCACAUCAUCGUCGACCGUGGACUUGAAUUCGACCAGGUGGACCGGGAGAGUUCCUGGGAUGACCAGAUCAUCUUCAAUGGGCUGUUCUUCUACCUGGCCUACGCAGCCGUCCCGAAUGUCAGUCGCAUGCCGGUGUGGAGAACAGACGGAGCCAUCAUCACCGCCUUGCUUCACAUAGGACCUGUCGAGUUCCUGUACUACUGGUUCCACAGGGCGCUGCACCACCAUUUCCUCUACUCUCGCUACCACUCACACCACCACGCCUCCAUCGUCACAGAGCCCAUAACCUCUGUCAUCCAUCCAUUUGCUGAACACGUGGUUUAUUUCCUGCUAUUUUCGAUCCCCAUGAUGACACCAAUUUUUAUGGGCUGUGGUUCUGUCCUGGCUGUUGUCUUGUACAUCACGUACAUCGACUUCAUGAACAAUAUGGGGCACUGCAAUUUUGAGCUGGUGCCAAAGCGCGUCUUCCAUGUCUUCCCUGCUCUCAAGUACCUCAUGUACACUCCCUCGUUUCAUUCUCUACAUCAUACACAGUUUCGUACAAACUACUCGUUGUUCAUGCCGUUCUAUGACUACAUAUACAACACCAUGGACAACUCAACUGACGAGCUGUAUGAGAGAGCACUGAAAGGAACAGAAGAAACACCAGAUCUUGUCCACUUGACGCAUAUGACCAACUUGCGAUCGACUUAUCAUCUUAGGGUUGGGAUUGCCUCUAUAGCCUCCAGACCAUCGGAAAGCCCUGUAUGGUAUAUGUGGAUGAUAUGGCCAGUGGCAUGGCUGUCAAUGGUACUGGCAUGGGUUUAUGGAUCUUCUGCGUUUGUCGUUGAAAAUCACACACUGAAGAAGUUCAAGAUGCAAACAUGGGCAAUACCAAGAUACAACUUCCAUUAUGGCUUGAUUUGGGAGAGAGAAUCCAUCAACGGCUUAAUUGAGAAGGCAAUACUAGAUGCUGAUGGAAGAGGGGUCAGAGUGCUCAGUCUAGGACUGUUAAAUCAGGCAAAACAACUCAAUGGAGGUGGUGAAUUAUUUACAAAAAAAUAUCCAAAAUUAAGAGUUCGACUUGUUGAUGGAAGUGGCUUAGCAACUGCAGUGGUGCUCAAGAGCAUCCCUUUAGAUACAAAGCAGGUUUUUCUUUGUGGAAGCAGUUCUAAGGUAGCCCACGCCACAGCUACAGCUUUAUGUGAGAGAGGUGUCCAGGUAAUCAUGAACCAAAAGAAGGAAUAUGACAUGCUCAAGUUGCGAGUUCCAGAGAGCAGCACUGGCUAUCUGAAAUUCUCCAGUGAUGAAAUACCCCGGGUAAAAGUUAUCUGGAAACAGGGAUCGGAACCCCAAAUGGAAGUGAUCUGGAUAGGAGAUAUCAUAGACGAUAAGCAACAACGGAGGGCACCAAGUGGAACAAUAUUUAUUCCUACAUCACAGUUUCCCCUUAAGAAGACACGCAAGGAUUGCACCUACCUGGGUAGCCCAGCAAUGAAGAUCCCGGAGACAAUGCAGAACGUUCACACCUGUGAGAAUUGGCUUCCAAGAAGGGUGAUGAGCGCAUGGCGCAUUGCCGCGAUAAUACAUGCUCAGGAAGGUUGGAACAUGCAUGAGUGCGGAGAUGAUAUGAUGGACAUCGAAAAGGUUUGGUCGGCAGCUAUUAGGCAUGGAUUCAUUCCUCUGUCAAAGGCUUGA